UAUACACCUAGUCCAACUUAAGUUGGUUCACAACCUGCUGAAGAAGAAAAAGAGGAGCCAUUUUCAAAGCUGGCCAUGACUAGUGACAUUAGCAGCCAUGAUGAUUUGAAAUGUUACAUUCUGUCAAAAAUGAUCUGACAGGAUGGAAGAGAAAGGUAUAAAAAGGGCUAAUGAGAAGAUAAGUGUGCUAAACUCGGAGGAGGCAGACAGUGAGGCGUUCAACUCGAGGCUUUUAUCUGCGCUCCACUGUUCUGCUUUAAUCAGUGCUGUGACUCAGGGCCCGUAUCAGAUUGACUACAGGCCUAGAAAGUAAACAUGUUGUAAAGCUCCUUUUUGUUUCUUAUUUACUUUGCUUUUCCCUGGUGUUCUCGUGAUUUGGAUGUGAUGUUCUCGCCCCAGAGGCCCCAUUCCAGUUCAGAAUAUGUCCUUUUACUUGU